CUUUAUUUUUUUCGGCAUAGCGACAAAACUGCAAAAACUGAAGAUUAAUUAGACAAGGUUCAUUCACAAGUUUUAAUAUACUAAAAUUCUUUCAGAUGGCUGUCUGCUACCCUUCAGCCUUGUUGCUUGCUCACUGUACAUAGGUGUAAUGUGUUAUGUAGCAAGAAGGUUUCGGCUGUGCUGCCGCAUUACAGAUCAGCAUAAGAGGAGUGGAUCCUAUGUCACUCCUCUGAAGUGCUCACACCAUUCCCUAUGCAGAUCCCUGAUGAAAAAACAGCUUGUUCAUGCACACUGUGCCAUGCCCCUCAUUUCAUCAUCAGCUGAGUCUCUCUCUCUCUCUCUCUCUCUCUCUCUAUCCAUAGCACUCAGACACACACAUGCACACUCCUCUUUAGCGUUCUCCCAACCCUCUCUCUCUCUCUCUCCCUCUCCCUCUCUCAUUCGCUUAACAGUCAGCUUCAGUCUCUCACAAGGGGGAGAUUUGAUUCUGCGAAAAAUCAUCCUCUGCUAUUUCUGCUGCAAGGGCCUCCCCUUCAGACAGCUUGUGCCAGAGCAAGAGUUUUUCUUUUUUUUUCUCCCUUUACUACUAAAUGGAUUUUUAACCCUGUGACUGCAACGACUUUAUGGCAGCCUGAACUCAUUUGGUAUUUUCAACAGGAAAAAUAUCUUUACGGAUACAUUUUGAUGUUUGUUUGUUUGCGUGGUUUGUUACCCAACUCCAUUUUUCUGGUGUUUAGAGGGAGCCGCAAGUUCCAGAUUUUAUUUUUUGUUUCAAUUUUAUUUAUUUUUUUAGCAUCAAACAUUUCAGUAUGCUUACUAGAAGUAUUCCAUAUAGUUGGGUCUUCAUUCUUCCCCAAAACCACAAGUGAAGUGGGGCGCAGGAUAUAUAUAUAUAUAAUUUUUUUUUUAAGUAUUAUUUUAUCCUUUUUUACUCCUUUCUUUUGAGAAUGGCAGUACUUGCAGCGGCCCCAGGAAAAAAUGGCUGUAUAUUGUGAGAGUACUCUGCACAUCUGCGGGUAAAGACAGCAUGCAAUUUGAUUGCGAAACACAUGAAGUGGAGCGCUCACUUUUUUUCUUCCUCAUUUUCACAACUUUAGCACCUGGAAGUGGAUGUCUUAACUCUCAUCUACUCUUGGUUAUUGAAAUACUGCUGUGAUUUGAACAAUACCAUUGACCUCAUAUUCAAAGCUGUUUCAACUUAACCAGCAUACAAGUACAACUAAAGACUGUUUUCCUAACUUGGAUUGUUUUCUGAUUAUCUUUCCCUGGGUAUGUACUGCAUACUUUAUUUGUUUUCAUAUCCUUUUUUAAUAAGGUACCAAAGAUUCAUUUUUUUUGAGAAUUUGCUGAUUCGAAACUUUAUCAUAGUAAUGGCUAGAUUUGUUUGGAGAUUUCUCAUUGACACUCUAGCCACAAUAGGAUGACUAAAAUACCUAGUGGACUGCCUACAGCUCUUUUCUCUUUUUUCAGUAAUAUUUUUAUUCAUUGUUGGAACUCUUCCUGUCUUUGCUGACAUUACUUUUUAAACGUUAGCAUACCUACCUGAGCUUAGUCUGGCCAGAAUUAGUAAUGAUUGCUGAUGUGUGGAAAUUUGCAGACUAAUUAGGGUCAUUUAACACAAAUAAAAUAGCAGCAGGCUCCUGGAUUGCAGCUUCUGCAUGCUGUCUGUGGCAUUUGAGAAACACCAGUAUCAUCAUACCUUACUUUUAAUUUAAUUUACUAAAUGAAAUCAGAAUGAUGAAAUGUUCAGUGGUAAAUUUCUAGUACAAUUCCACAUCCAUUAAAAGAGGCAUUUUUGGUUAAAACUGUACAUUCUUCCUUCAUUUAACAGUUAUUACAUUAGAAUUAUUGUAACAAAUGACAUUUAUUUUUAUUGUCUAAUUGGUAUUUUGUUUCUUCUUGCUAAUUUCAGAGUUGAAGUUUCCAUUUGACACUUUAUCUAAUGUCAGCCAGUCAGUCAGUCAUUUUCCAAC